GGAGGGUGCAAGCGUUAAUCGGAAUUACUGGGCGUAAAGCGCACGCAGGCGGUUUGUUAAGUCAGAUGUGAAAUCCCCGCGCUCAACGUGGGAACGGCAUUUGAGACUGGCAAGCUAGAGUCUUGUAGAGGGGGUAGAAUUCCAGGUGUAGCGGUGAAAUACGUAGAGAUCUGGAGGAAUACCGGUGGCGAAGGCGGCCCCCUGGACAAAGACUGACGCUCAGGUGCGAAAGCGUGGGAGCAAACAGGAUUAGAUACCCUGGUAGUCCACGCUGUAAACGAUGUCGAUUUGGAGGUUGCGCCCUUGAGGGGUGGCUUCCGUAGCUAACGCGUUAAGUCGACCGCCUGGGGAGUACGGCCGCAAGGUUA
rnacentral:rRNA from 1 species